rnacentral:tRNA from 1 species
GGGAAUGUGGCUCAGGGGUAGAGUGCUUGCCUAGCAAACAAGAGGUCCUGGGUUUGAGCCCCAGCACUA